rnacentral:rRNA from 1 species
AAUGAACGCUGGCGGCGUGCUUAACACAUGCAAGUCGCACGAGAACGCUUCAGCUUGCUGAGGCUAGUAAAGUGGCGCACGGGUGAGUAACGCGUGGGUAAUCUACCUCUAAAUUGGGGAUAACACUGCGAAAGCGGUGCUAAUACCGAAUGACAUUCCUUAAACCACGGUUCGGGGAAUCAAAGGUGGCCUCUACAUGUAAGCUAUAGUUUGGGGAUGAGCCCGCGUACCAUUAGCUAGUUGGUAGGGUAACGGCCUACCAAGGCAACGAUGGUUAGCUGGUCUGAGAGGAUGAUCAGCCACACUGGAACUGACACACGGUCCAGACUCCUACGGGUGGCUG